ensembl:lncRNA
GGAAUUGCAGCUUCUGGGAAAUGUGUUUCUCUUGUAGCGAUAUACUGCAAUUGGUAUGAUGCUCAUGUUCACUGAACAGCAGAUGUCUGUCUAUAUUUGUCCAGCAGCUGUGGCAAGCUUCCAGAGGCUGUUCUGUUUCAUAUGCUGUAGAAAACCUUGGCCGAAACAGUUCUGCCCUAGUGACACUGUUGGCACCUUCACCUGUUCUUCUCUUCCUAGUUUCUGUCUCACCUGCACCCGAAGGGGUCUUUUUUGGAGUCCUUCUAAAGCUUCACGCUGGCUUCAUCAGACUGUUUCUGCAUUUCUCUUAAUUUGCACUGCAUUGUGGAUUCCUCACAAAGAAAAGAAAAUAGAAUAACCUCAUGCCACUUAAUACCACUGAGGUGAUGUCAACUGUUCAAAUUAGUAGAAGAAUUGGAAGCUGAUCUCACAUGCAAAAUCUUUACCUUGUGAAUUAUUCUGCAAGACUAGUUAUAUUUGUUCUAGAUAAAGUGCUAUGCGAAAACACUGUUUCUGAGAAAUAUCUAUAGCAUCAAGAGAAGUAAUUGGACUGUUGGAAGCAGAGGAGUGUUGGUACAAGUUUUGAUGUCUUGUUCUCCUCCACUAACCUUUGUCACAGUGGAAGGAAGGGAUGCCAUUCAGAGGGACCUCAACAGACCUGAAAGGUGGGCCUGGGUAAAUCUAAUGAGGUUCAACACAACAAAGUGCAAGGUUUUGCACUUGGGCUGGAGGAAUCCCAGGCAUAUAUACAGACUGGAAGGAGCAAUCCUUGAGAGUAGCCCUGCAGAGAAGGUCCUGAUGGAUGAAAAACUGAACAUGAGCCAGCAGCAUGCUCUAGCAGCUCGGAAAGCAAAUGGUAUCCUGGGCUCCAUCAGAAGAGGGGUGGCCAUCAGGGACAGGGAGGUGAUGGUCGCUCUCUACUAUGCCCCUGUGAGGCCUCAUCUGGAGUAGUACAUCCAGGUCUGGAGCCCCCAGUACAAGGACAGGGAGCUGUUGGAGAGGGCCCAGAGGAGAGCCACAAAGAUUGUCAGAGGGCUGGAGCACCUCCCCUACGAAGACAGGCUGAGGGAGCUGGGCUUGUUCAGCCUGGAGAAGAGAAGGCUGCAAGGCAACCUCAUAGCAGCCUUUCAGUACCUAAAGGGAGCCUAUAAAUAGGAGGAGAGUCAACUCUUUGAAAGGGUGGAUAACAACAGGACAAGGGGAAAAGGUUUUAAGUAGAAGGAGGGAAGAUUUAGGUUGGAUGUCAGGGGGAAGUUCUUUGCUACGAGAGUGGUGAGGUGCUGGAACAGGCUGCCCAGAGAGGUUGUGGAUGCCCCGUCCCUGGAGGUGUUUAGGGCCAGGGCCAGGUUGGAUGGGGCCCUGGGCAGCCUGGUCUAGUAUUAAAUGUGGAGGUUGGUGGCCCUGCCUGUGGCAGGGGAGGUUGGAGCUUCAUGAUCCUUGAGGUCCCUUUCAACCCGAGCCAUUCUGUGAUUCUGUGAUUGUAAGCUGUUCUUUUCUCUUCUCUCUCUCUCUCUCCUUUUUUUUUUUUUUUUUUUUUUUUCCUUUCCCCUUAGGAGCUAUGCUGAAUCUCAAGCAGAGUAUGGCAUUACUUGUGUAGACCACCUCAGUGUAGGUUGUGUUAAAACAACAUCAUCCUAGGUGCUCUGAGCAGUCACCCUUAUCAUGAGAGGCUCUGUUAGCUAUCUUAUGAAAUGAGAAGGUUGGAAGCAGAGAGCAUGGAACAGAGAAAGAGUGGGCUGCCUACAAUUGUCCCUUCUAUAAUAAUUCAUUUAGAUUGGGUUCUAAUCUAGCUGUGUGGUAGAAGGAUGCAGCUUGCUUGUCAAAAAGCAUUCACAGCCAGUGUUUUAACACAGAACUCUGCUGAAGCAGAGAUGCCAUUAGCAGAGCAAAGAUCCUGCAAACAUUUGUCUUAGUUAAGGCAUCUCCCGUGCUGAUCUCUAAAACACAGAUUUUAAAAGGAAAGGAAGAAAAAGGAGCAAGAAAGGAAAAACUUAUUUUAGGAACUUAUUACCCGGACAGAAAUAGGAUCUACUACAUUUCUUCUGAAAAGAGUCUUAAAUGUGUGCUGCUGAUGGGUGAAACAGCUGUCUCCAGGUACCCACAGACAGUCUUUGUUCCUAUGUUGCAGCUUCAUAGUCAUUCUCUGGGAUGCUUCUGCUUUGACUUCUGCAGCCUUCCUCCUUUUAAUCCUGUGCCUGGAUGAAGACUAUCAGAUACCACCCCGGUGUGGCUGGGAAAGGAACAUCCAUUCCAUCAGCUCUGCUUCUUGCCUCCUUGCUGGCAGGUACAUGUCUGUGAGUAGCACAGGGGAAACAAGAAGGUCAGCCUCUGGCUUCUCAACGUGCACUGGGUGUAAGGCUGUCAGAGUGUUGCAAACUGUCCUGUCAGGUGUCUUCAAAGUUCUGUUAAUUUAUUUGUUUCUGACUUAGAAGCAAGAGCAAGUUAGUAGAGCUGGUAAUAUAUAGAUAUUUUUUAAUAAUGGCUCUGAGUUAGUUGCAGUGUGUUUUAGAUGAUGUGAUAUUUUCUUCUUUUGUUUUCUAUUACAAAGUACUAUUACAAAGUAUUAAAAUAUUUUGUCCAGAAGUACCUGACAAGUACCAAGAACACAGUUUAAUCUCCCCAUCUUCCCAAGGAAUCCUGUAUCUGUUGUGGUUGUAAACACUGACAAUUAGACUGGCUAAUACACAUAAAUGUGUUUAGAUUAGAGGUAAGAAAAUUGCUUAUUGAUCAUUCUUGAGUAGCUUUUCCCACAGAAGCCAGGAUGUUUUCUACUUGGAAACAUUUUGCGAGGGUAAAACACAUUUAUACAAGCAAGAAUUGUUAGGUAUUCCUCAGCAAUUGCCUUUCAGAGUGUUUAAAUCAUUCUCUAAACUCAAACCGAUAUAAAAUCACCUCUCAAAAGAAUGAAACAUUGCGAUGUUGCAAGAAAUUGCAUAAAGGCAUCCUUUGAAUAAUGACAUCUGCUGCCAUUUGUUUAUGCACGACUGUACAUCUAUAGCAACUGAAAGGCAAAGGUGUCUCUGGAGGUUUAUCCAAUGAGGCACUGUUAUGAGCAUAUGUGAACACGAUGAACUGACUGUGUUUUUCCUGUCUGCACUAGAUCCAGCACCAAGGUAUGAGGAAUGAAGGCAUUUCUACCAGCACAAAGUCAGAUUGUUUUUCUAACAGAUAUGGGAGUCAUAUAGACUGUUAUGUUAGUUUUUAAUAUUGUCUUCAUAGAUAACUUCACUGGGUUUUAUACAAAUGGAAUAAACUUGGUCCAAAAAGCUUUGACUCCAGUGCACCACAAGUUUGAGUUACAGCUGACUUUCACAUAGUGCUUGUACAUAAUAUCUCUGUUCAUGCACUUGAUAUCAAGUUUAUGGACAGGAAAGCAGAACAAGGAAGAAUAUGAAACAACUUCUACUGCAGGGACUAGCACUCCCUUGAUCCAUAGUGACCAAACCGAAUCAUAUCAAACAAAACAGUGCUUUUCAGUGACAAUCUUUCUCUGCAUCCAAGUUAAGGAUAAUAGGACUGACCUCUCGUUAAAUACUUUAAUAUCUACUGAUUAAAGAAGCAAGAUGGCCUAUCAGCUGCUGUGAAACUUUGGAGUGAAAUAAUGCUUCAAAACAUAAGUGUUUCAUUUGCUUGAUUGUUCUGAAUAAGUUCUGCUGAGGCAUUAGCAUCCUUGAAAAAAUAUAUGUGAUAAAUCAUUAACUACAAAAUUAAAUUUCACUAUUUUGAACUUAUUUUUCCAUUAGCUCAAACAACUAGUAAACACACAAAAUAUUCUUGAAAGAAAAUGAGUUCUUGGAGAUUUUUACAUUGCACCUAAGAAUCUUGAACUUUAUUUCAGAAGGGGCCUGUAAAUUGCAGAUCUCCAGAAUAAAAAUAAGAGAGACUAUUUUUUUUUUCUAUAGCUUUUCUAAAAGUUGUAGUUAAAUUAUCUUAAGGAACAUUUCUACUCAAUUCCAGAAUAAACAGAUCUUGAUGUCUCAGUAUGCUGAGACAUAGGAGGAUUGAAAUAGAAUGAUUAUGUCCCAAGACAAUGAGAUUGGGAUUCAAAGUAUUACACACUUACAAAUGAGUGAUACGAAAGGAGAGCCAUCCUGUUUUCAUCACAAGUCCUGUCUGACCUAAGCCCUUAUAUCUUUAGAAACGGGAGGAAUGAAGUAUAAUCUUCAGGUUCAUUGUGUGGAUUGUUGCUGUGUCUGCUUUGUGAGCUAGAAACAGGUAAAAUCAUAUGCUCUUGAAUAGUAUUUUAACAAGCACAGCUGCAGGGGAAUGUAGGUAGAGUAGCUGGGAGUAAAGAAUCUUGUCCAUUAGAGCUGCUAAGGGGGGAAAUAUAAGGUGGAACAUUUUUAUAAUAAGAUUUUCAUCAUGGCUUUUAUAAAGCCAUAGUAAACAAGCUAAAUAUGAAAUAAAAUCACAGCUGAUGUCAAACUGCUUGUAUAGAAGCUCCUAACAAAUGCAAACCUGAAACGUCUGUACAUGAUUUAGAAACUAACAAAUCCCCCUGAAAGAGUUGCCAUCAGACUUAAACUGUGAAGCAAAUAAAGACAUCCGAGUAGAUUUUCUAAUUGCCUGGAUAGGAUGUAUGGUGUUAAGCAUUCAAAGAUUCAAAGGAAGAACAGUACUUGGUGGGAGCUACAGUGCCUGUGAGAUAGGCAGCAAAUGGCUAUCUGCUGUGAAUAUAUAUUUCAGUGCUAGUUAAAGAUCAAUUCAUGCUAAGGUGGAUGGCUUUGUUUAUUUUUGGAUAUUAAAACUGCACAAUUUCUGACUUAGGUCUGAGAGCGCUGCUUGCAUUGCUUUUCUUUUAUGAUGGUAUUGCUGAUCUAUUUUCCCUGUCUUGAUAAUGGUUACGGUAAGAAUAAAUCUUUAUCUAUUUGCUAGGCAGGAUUUGAUUUAUAAGUUAGAUAUGGAAGAUAUGUAAGUUCUGAUAAUCUUAUUAAGAUUCUUUUUGCUUAAUGUAGCCCUGCUGCAUGCUACCAGGUUGUAUUUCAAUACAGUAUUUUAAUGUGUGACAGUUAAGAUCUGUUAGCUCUGAUGAAGCAGGCUCAGAAUAUUGCUUCAGCUGACUACCAUCUGAAUGGAAUCUCAGUAAUCCAAUGCCUGAUAAAAAAUAACUUCAAAGUAUGUUGGAAAAUGCUCCUUUUUUGAGUUUGCGUGUUAUUACUUAGUAAGGUAUUAAUCCUUCUUUUCCACUGAACACUAGUUAUACUACAAGACUUUAAGCUAAGAGACUAGUCCAAUUAUUUUUAGGAAUAGAGAAGGUACAAGAUAGGAAAAGAUAAGUCGUAAUGAAUCUAACUACCAAAAAUAUUGGAAAACUGGAUAGUUCUGGCAAUGUACAUUUUGAACUGAGAAACUGACAGCGCACUGAAGAAGAUUGGAAGAUGGUACCUAAUUUUUAAAAAUGUAAUGUUAUUCCCUAGGCAUUAGUAUUAAGACUUUUAUGCUCCUACUUCUUUUUCAUCAUUUCAAUUUCUCCUUCCCUUCUCUACUCCCAUGUUUUCUGAAUGUGCUGUUUUCACCAGAAUUCUCAGACAUAUGUAAAUGGCCAUUUUUAAGGCAUUUUUACUGCUCAGAUGUCCAAAAGUGAUUACUUUUUUCAACUCUUUUCUCUGUCUCAGAGCUUGCAUGUGAUUUUUUUUGUGUGUGUUCUUUUGUUGUUGUUAUUUGUGUUUGAUUUCAUUAAACACAUUAUUUUCAGAUGAGUCAGUGAAUGAGAAAGUCUUAUAACACUGUUCUUUCGAAUGGGAGCUGGAUGUUCUCUCUCAUUUUGAAUAAUUAAUUAGCAGUAAUUUAAUGAGCACUAGCUUCCAUAAACAGACUUCAGGAUUUUCUUAUUUAUCUUUUGCUUAUCUUUUACAUAUAUCAGCCAGUGUUCUGAUGCCUCUUAGCGGUACCCAGUUGUUCUUUGCUCGAUCCCAGCCCAAUCUACAAGCAUCAUUACAUUGAUGAAAGAGUAAUCAAUUCUGAUUACUAGUGGUAGAGGACUAAUGAAUGAGAUAUUACUAUGCCUGUUCUGUAAAUGCUGCAUGGAGUUUAGAUGGCUGUGUUGUACAGGAGAUCUUGGAGGUGUAGAUGAUACCACUGAGAUGAUACAUCUUGGGUUAAAGUAGAUUUGUACGUGCUUAGCAGGAUACCGUUAUCUUGUCUGUUAGCUGUCUGGAUUUUAGAUGUCUGAUUAUUGUUCUUUAGGUGGAACAGAUUAAACAUUUUCCGCUCAAGUGAAAAACAUCUGUCUCAUUUUUCCUUGUGAAGGAAUUGCCCACAGUUUUUACAUUUACGAGAUCAUGGGGGAGUGGAAUGGAACCUGAUGGGCUUGGAUGCUGUGCUAUGUUGUUUUUUGUUGUUGUUGUUGUUUGUUUGCUUUAAGUUUACUAUGGAAACUGUUCAUUCUUCAAAUGCAAAAUUCUACGGAAGCAAUAAGGGUACAGUCAUUCAUUUCCUCACUUUUUUUUUUUUUAACUUGUCUAAACACUAAUUGUUAGAUAUGUGUGGGAAAUAGGGAAAACAGGAUACUGGAGUCUGUGAGCUGCUUAUUAACUGUUGUUCUCUCUCUAAGUGUGGAGUUUCCAAUAUUCC